GACGAACCGUACGAACGUUAUUCGGAAUUACUGGGCUUAAAGGGUGCGUAGGCUGCGCGGAAAGUUGGGUGUGAAAUCCCUCGGCUCAACCGAGGAACUGCGCCCAAAACUACCGUGCUCGAGGGAGACAGAGGUGAGCGGAACUUAGGGUGGAGCGGUGAAAUGCGUUGAUAUCCUAAGGAACACCCGUGGCGAAAGCGGCUCACUGGGUCUCUUCUGACGCUGAGGCACGAAAGCUAGGGUAGCGAACGGG
rnacentral:rRNA from 1 species